rnacentral:rRNA from 1 species
CGAAAGCCUGACGGAGCAACGCCGCGUGAGGGAUGGAGGCCUUUGGGCUGUAAACCUCUUUUCUCAAGGAAGAAGAUCUGACGGUACUUGAGGAAUAAGCCACGGCUAAUUCCGUGCCAGCAGCCGCGGUAAUACGGGAGUGGCAAGCGUUAUCCGGAAUUAUUGGGCGUAAAGCGUCCGCAGGCGGCCGUUUAAGUCUGUUGUUAAAUCGUGGAGCCCAACUCCAUCACGGCAAUGGAAACUGUUCGGCUUGAGUAUGGUAGGGGCAGAGGGAAUUUCCGGUGUAGCGGUGAAAUGCGUAGAUAUCGGGAAGAACACCAGUGGCGAAAGCGCUCUGCUGGGCCAUUACUGACGCUCAUGGACGAAAGCCAGGGGAGCGAAAGGGAUUAGAUACCCCUGUAGUCCUGGCCGUAAACGAUGAACACUAGAUGUUGGGGGAAUCGACCCCCUCGGUGUCGUAGCUAACGCGUUAAGUGUUCCGCCUGGGGAGUACGCACGCAAGUGUGAAACUCAAAGGAAUUGACGGGGGCCCGCACAAGCGGUGGAGUAUGUGGUUUAAUUCGAUGCAACGCGAAGAACCUUACCAAGGCUUGACAUCCUGCGAAUCUCUAAGAAAUUAGAGAGUGCCUUCGGGAACGCAGUGACAGGUGGUGCAUGGCUGUCGUCAGCUCGUGUCGUGAGAUGUUGGGUUAAGUCCCGCAACGAGCGCAACCCACGUUUUUAGUUGCCAGCAUUCAGUUGGGCACUCUAGAAAGACUGCCGGUGACAAACCGGAGGAAGGUGUGGACGACGUCAAGUCAUCAUGCCCCUUACGCCUUGGGCUACACACGUACUACAAUGCUGCGGACAAAGAGUAGCGAUCUUGCGAAAGUUAGCUAAUCUCAUAAACCGUGGCUCAGUUCAGAUCGUAGGCCGCAACUCGCCUACGUGAAGGAGGAAUCGCUAGUAAUUGCAGGUCAGCAUACUGCGGUGAAUACGUUCCCGGGCCUUGUACACACCGCCCGUCACACCAUGGAAGUUGGCCAUGCCCGAAGUCGUUACUCUAACCUUUUGGAAGAGGGCGCCGAAGGCAGGGCUAAUGACUGGGGUGAAGUCGUAACAAGGUAGCCGUAGCGGAAGCUGCGGCUGGAUCACCUCCUAA